CCCCAAUUAGAAAGCGAAGAAGUACCACGCUGACGACAUUUUUUGUGGGAAAUACAAACAGAGCAGAAUUGUCCUCGUCAUACGAUCGUCAAAAAAGACAAAGAAAAGGGAGAGAUCAAAAAUGCAGAGAGCCUCCCGUUUGAAGAGAGAACUUGACAUGUUGACCAAAGAGCCACCUCCCGGGAUCACAUGCUGGCAGACUGAAGAACGCAUUGACGACUUGCAAGCACAGAUAGUAGGUGGCUCCGGAACUCCGUAUGAAGGUGGAGUCUUUACCUUGGAAAUCAAAAUCCCAGAGAGAUACCCAUUUGAGCCCCCCAAAAUGCGAUUCUUGACUCCCAUCUACCACCCAAACAUUGACACCGCAGGACGGAUCUGUUAUGACGCUCUCAAACUCCCGCCAAAGGGAGCCUGGAGGCCUUCCUUAAAUCUCUCCACACUUCUCACCUCCAUCCAACUUCUGAUGUCUGAACCAAAUCCAGAUGACCCGCUUAUGGCUGACAUAGCAUCGGAGUUCCGACACAACAAGCAACUAUUUAUGCAGAAGGCCAGGAAAUGGACAGAGGAGCAUGCUAUUCAGAAGAUGGGAUCUUUCAACUUGCACACAGGAAAUAUCAGCCUUUGAGAUCUGGAACAAAUGCUGACGGAUGCCCUGGAGCCAAUGAGACACAGACUGUUGAAUGAGUGGCAAAAGCUGCCAUCGAAUGUCUCCAUCUCUUCUGAUGAUGAAAUGAUUUAUCGGGUAACCGUGUCAAGGUGUUUUACUUAAGGGCUGAGAUUUCCAUUCAUCGCCGUGGGCCUUGUCUUCUUUUAUCCUGUGUCACUCUAGCUUCCAAUCUCUGCUUCAAAUUUCAACCGGAGCGUGGAGUUGCAUCGAGCGCUUGUUACAAUAGUGUGAUUCAUCAUAUUUCCUUUUUUUUUUUUUUUUUUUGGGCCGUCAGCCCACCCGCUCAAGUAUGUGAUCGGCUUUACGAUCAAAGGCCCGAGUUUGAAUGUGUCUUUUCUGGAUCAUUCCGAGCUGGUGGCCUAGCUUGACAAGCGCGAUGAUUUAGCGCGACAAAACAACCGGCCGCAAGCUUACGAAACACAACGCUGUGAGGUCACUACAAUCGGGAACCGCCGUGGCAUUUUGGAAGACGUCAUCCCAGACCACCCUGGCAAAGUCUCGCACCCAGCAAACAGCGCCCGUGAGAUGUGUUCCUUUGAAAGGCAAAGAACAUUGGGCCAUGGUGGAGAACAACAACCAGGGUAGGUAGGAUUUGUGUAUUUGUCAUAGUUUGGGCCACGCCUGGGCUGUUUUUUUACCGUCACUAUGACAGUAAAGUCAGCUAGUCCGCUUAGCGCUUUCAAUGAAAGAGGAUCUUUGAUCCCGGGGCCUAAAUGCUUUAAGGUGAGGUCUCUAUUUGCUUUUUUUUCUUUUUUUUUUUUUUAUCAAAACAAACAAACUACUUUGGCUUUCAGUUCCUCCCAUUCUUUCCUUUCUCGACUUCCUGGGAGGGAGCGCUUUGCCUUCUCUUCUGUCUCUCAUUCAUCUGCCACAAAGAGCAGAAGGGUGAGGAAAAUCUUUUCACCUGGACAAGAAUGUCCACCGGGACAACUGGGAUACAAAAGAGCACAGGAAACGGAUAGGGAGGAAGAGAAGAAGAGCAGAUAAGGCAGAAAGGAGGGAUUGUGGUUUUGGGGAGAGUGACAGCCGGAUGUCCGGGUGGAGAAAGCGCCUCUUCGCUUUGGGGGUCAUGUCAUGGGAAACCCGUUUGUGCCCUGUGGGAAGUCUUCGUCGACUGGUAUAGUGCGCGCGGGCCACAUACACGCUUUUAUGUCCGCUUCUUGUCCUCCCACACAUAAGACGGAGGGGAGAGGGGUGAAAGGUCAAGCACUUCACUAAUGGAACAGGAAGUGUUGGAACAGUGUGACAUACAACUGCCUCCGAGAUGUGGACGGGGACUGACAGGCAGCUGUUGUGAGCUGGCCAAAAGAGCCUUAGUAGUUUAUUAUCCCAUUUUUGGUGUGUUUAUAAAUAAAAGCCGUACCUCGUAAAGCUCAUUAGCAAAUGCUCCUGAUUUUUGUUUUGCUAAUAUUUAGCAAUGACAGUUUUUAAAGAUCCCGGAAGAUGAUACAAUGCGGAUUCUUUGUAGUUUGUUAUCCGAUUUUUUGUGUGUUUAUAAAUAAAAGUGGUAUCUGGUAAAGCUCUU